UUCGCCCAUUAAAGCGGUACGCGAGCUGGGUUUAGAACGUCGUGAGACAGUUCGGUCCCUAUCCGCCGCGCGCGCAGGAGACUUGAGGAAGGCUGUCCCUAGUACGAGAGGACCGGGACGGACGAACCUCUGGUGUGCCAGUUGUCCCGCCAGGGGCAUGGCUGGUUGGCUAUGUUCGGAAGGGAUAACCGCUGAAGGCAUCUAAGCGGGAAGCUCGUUCCAAGAUGAGGUCUCCCACCACCUUGCGUGGUUAAGGCCCCCCACAGACCAUGGGGUUGAUAGGCCAGAGAUGGAAGCCCUGUGAGGGGUGGAGUUGACUGGUACUAAUAGGCCGAGGGCUUGAUUAC
rnacentral:ncRNA from 1 species